GCAGCUGCAACUCGACUGCAUGAAGCUGGAAUCGCUAGUAAUCGCGAAUCAGAAUGUCGCGGUGAAUACGUUCCCGGGCCUUGUACACACCGCCCGUCACACCAUGGGAGUUGGAAGCACCCGAAGUCGGUGACCUGACCGAAAGGGAGGAGCCGCCGAAGGUGAAGCCAGCGACUGGGGUGAAGUCGUAACAAGGUACC
rnacentral:rRNA from 1 species